UAGUUAUUGUGAUAUUGGCUUGGUUCACUCAGACAAAUAAAAUACUACAGUUUUAUUUUUACUGACUGUGGGUUAUGUUAUGGUUUUGAUUGAGCCGUGCCAAUAUCUCAGUGCUAUUU